rnacentral:lncRNA from 1 species
GUCAUGCCUGGACACCGUGAAUCUAACUUACAGAAAGAGUUGAACCGUUACAUACCCACAGCGGCAGCAUUUGGAGGAAUGUGCAUUGGUGCACUGACCGUGUUGGCUGAUUUCAUGGGAGCAAUCGGUUCUGGAACUGGAAUUUUGCUUGCAGUGACAAUUAUUUAUCAGUACUUCGAGACCUUCGAGAAGGAGAAAGUCAGUGAACUGGGUCUGUUUGGUUUCUAAACUUUUUCAUUCGGUUUAAUUUAUACUUUGGUGGUGCCAAAGAGCUCCCUGUCAAUUUUGGUGC